rnacentral:rRNA from 1 species
UGAGCAACCUGCCCUUGACCCUGGAAUAACAGCUGGAAACAGCUGCUAAUACCGGAUACGACCUCCGAUGGCAUCAUCUGGAGGUGGAAAGCUCCGACGGUCAAGGAUGGGCUCGCGGCCUAUCAGCUUGUUGGUGAGGUAACGGCUCACCAAGGCUUCGACGGGUAGCCGGCCUGAGAGGGCGACCGGCCACACUGGGACUGAGAUACCGGCCCAGACCUCCCGUAAGGGACGG